GGGAAGGGCGGAGGAAUUAACAUUUGUCGGGUCUAGUGGGCACGGAGCAACCUAAAGCAGGUGCACAUCGGAUCACAGUCAUCACGCCCUCUCUGUGGGCCAUACUCUGUCGUACACGUCUUGUCUGGAGAAGAAAAAGCUAAGGUGCACAGAGGCAAACUUGCCUAUAUAGGGAUCCCUCAUUGCACCUCCACGUUCAUCCAACUCCAUAUCUUCUCCUCACUCCAUAUUUCCAAACCUCCGUUGCUGUGUUUCUAACUAUGUCGUUAGCCAUGGGGGAUGAACAAGUUGUGCCGAAUGAUUCUCAACUAUCGGAAGAAGGAAAUGGGUGGGUUCUCUCGACUCAGUGCCCUACCAAGGCACAAUCAGCCACUGACGUUGGAAACAUCAACGUCAACCCAGAGUUGCCAAUUGACGCGCAGCCACUUGAGGGAGUUACAACGACA